rnacentral:rRNA from 1 species
ACUCAAAGGGAUUGACGGGGGCCCGCACAAGCGGUGGAGCAUGUGGUUUGAUUCGACGCAACGCGCAGAACCUUACCAGCCCUUGACAUGGCGGCUACGGCCUCGUGAGAGCGGGGCUUCCCUUCGGGGGGCCGUUACAGGUGCUGCAUGGCUGUCGUCAGCUCGUGUCGUGAGAUGUUGGGUUAAGUCCCGCAACGAGCGCAACCAUUAUCUUCAGUUGCCAUCGGGUAGGGCCGGGCACUCUGGAGAGACCGCCGGUGACAAGCCGGAGGAAGGUGGGGAUGACGUCAAGUCCUCAUGGCCGUUAUGGGUUGGGCUACACACGUGCUACAAUGGCGGCGACAGAGGGCAGCGAAGGGGCGACCCCCAGCUAAUCCCGAACAAGCCGUCUCAGUUCGGAUCAGCGGGCAUGCGCACUCGCCCGCGUGGAGGUGGUAUCGCAUAGUGAUCGCGCUAUU